CCACGAGUUCCGCCCCAGGCGCGGCUGAGGCCCGAGGAGCCACCGGCGAGCGUGAUGCGCAGCUGAGGGCUGGGAGCUUUCGGCGUCGGCGGGCUUGUCCGCAUCCCCAGUAUCCCGCGGGUCGAAGGCCGGCGUCAGCGUCUUUACAGCCUCUAAAGGAUGAGGUCUGGGUGAGCCGUGGCCGCGUGCAGGGUCCCUGGGGCCGUGGGAGGAAGGAGAGGCACGGCCUGAGUCGGCGGCCUGCUUCUGAGCUCCCUGCUGCGCCCCAGGCCGGGCGGGUCCAGCUCCCCGCGGUCCAGGCGCUGCACCAGGGCCCUGGCGUCGCUGUGUGCUGUUCUUGGGCGCAGAGGGGCCGCCCCACGGUGGAGGUGGGGUCGCUGCAGCCCCCAAAGGUAGAUCAGCUUUUCUUCCCCGUGUCCCGUGGCCCUGACCCCCACACCUAACGGAAGCCGGCGUCGGGAUAAUGCGAGGUCGGUCGAGGCUCAGACUUUCCGAGCUCAGGUAAGUUUCCAAAGUGAGCCUCAAACUUGAGAGGGGAAGGGAGUUGGGGUGCGGAGGGAAGGCUGCGCGGCUCCUGCAGGCCCCGCUCCCGCACGCCCGUAGGAUCCCGACGGAGGGUCAGGGUACGAAGGCCGGACGAGCCGUCCCCCUUUCACUCGGCCGAGCAGCUGUGGCUCCGGUCUCUCUUGCAGCUUUAGGCAUGGGGACCGCAUUCCACCUUCGGAUUUGUAUCGGAUUUCCAUCGUUGCUUUGAUGUUACUGUUCCCUUCGUGGAUAGAGGACUGGGAGAAAUGGAGGAGGUGGGGAUGUGAGAUGCUGAGUGUCAGGCUCGUGGAGCGCCUAGGAUCGUGGCAGGCGGGCCUGACUCACCUCAGUGCUUGUUCAGAAGCGGGGUGCGGUGGGCCCGAGUCGGAAACCGCGGGGAGACAGGUGUGGUGAGCGCCUUCGUCCACCAGGGGCGCCUCGGCCAAGGCGGCGGGAGGAGCCCGGUCCCCGGGUUUGGCCCAGGAACGUGCCCGCCAUCCCGUGGUCUCCACCCCACGCCCGUCUCCAGGCGCACGGUCCGCUCGCCCUCAGCCACCACUGGGCGCCACCUGCAGCUCCUGGUGGGCCCCCAGCUCCCGGUCCGAGCAGGCUCCGCCUGCGGGAAGCGCGGCGCCGGACGCUUUCUCAGCCAAGGACGCCGGGACAGGCGCGAGCGGAAUCGAGGGCUAGCGGUUUGGUGACCCUCGCUUGGUUGUUCCGGAGCCUUUGAGGGAGAGGGCAGCACAGAGGAGACGGCGAGGGGCACCGGGCACCAGGGCUCCUCCAGCGCCCGAGACUAACCUGUGGCAGUGGUAAGCGUGUGAGGGCCGGGGUUUCCUGGCGAGGGGGUCGCUGGGGAGCAGAGGACACGGGUGAGACACGGCCUGACACCCCACAUCUGCCCGAGCAGCGAAGUCUCCACGAACUGGCGUCCACUCCCUACCCCACCCCGGUCCUGCUCCAGUGUCCGAAUGCCACCCCCCCCCCCCCGCUCUUUCCAUGCUCCUUCAUCUCAGGUGGGAAGUGAGAACAGUUGUUCAUUCCACCUAACUUAGGCCAGGGAGCGGGGCCCCAGGUCAGGGAGUCCAUUCUGCAGCCCGCUCCCCAGGCUUCCCCCAAGGGCCGGUUCGGUGCCUUCUCGCCUGGUCCUCCAUGUGGUCCGCCUCUCCCCGCCCGACAGGGGAGCCAGUGUCCACGCGGGCCCUGCUGGGGAGGGUGACUCCGGAUAAGCCUUCUCUAACUGGCAGAGAAAACAAGUCUUGGCCUUGAUAACCACAGGCUGCGCAUUAAAAGCAAACACGUUGUCCUCGUCCCUAACGACCGUCAGUGGUUCUGGGUCAUCCGUGGGGAAGAGAAAGGGAUUGGUUUCUCUUGGCAACAGAAGCCCCCCCCCCCAGGGGAAGGGGCCCCUCCUGGCCCAGAGUGCUGGGACUGUGCUGCUGCAGGACUCUCAGCGGGCAGACUGAGUCUCAGGGCACAGCAAAGGCAUCCUCUCCAGGCAGCAGUAGGCCCCUUGUGGGGAAACGCGGAUGGAACGGAGCCCUAAAUCCUGCGCUGUGGCUUUGGAGAAACAAGUUCUGAUUCUGUCUUUCACUUAAGUCACGUGGCCGGGGACACAUACCUCUCCUUCCUGAGGUUCCAGGGCCUCACGAUCCACACCAGAUGCCCACAUAGUGAGCCAGAGUCCUGUGCUGCCAGAGCCAUCUUUGAUGACUUCCACAUGACCCUGGGACUCCACCUUUCGGCUGUCCUGACCCCGCAGGGAGGGGUUGGCCAGAGAGCUAGCUGCACCUGGUACCCGCGAGUCUGAGUUCGGAUGAGCUACAUUGCAGGGCCCAGGGGCACGUGUGGCUUGGGCAGCACACAUCUAGCCCCUUGUUCACCUAACAAGCAAGGAAGAAAUCCUGAGACUGCUCGCUCCUGUGUGUGGCUCACAAUCCCACCCUUCUUCCUGUGGAAGAGGACUUAGGGGCAGGACAAGCGCCAUGGGGCAGAAGCUCAGUGCCCCUUCUCUCCUUCCAAAGCUGGGGAGAGUGGCCUGGAUUUCCCAUCAGGGCACUGGUCUGGGUGGAAAGCUGUAGUUUGCAGCCCCAGAUGGGGGGUUUCCUCCAGGCCCCUGUGCCUCCCAGCAGAGCCUUCGGCUCCUGGAGGGCAUGCAAUGGCCCAGUGGUCAGUAGAGGCAGGAUCACAGGCAGCUUCCUGAGAGCCAGUAGCCCAGCCUGGGGUACACACAUGGGGGAUCAGCAACCCUCAUACGAGGGCUCUGAAACUUAAAGCCAGAGGAGGCAUUGGCUGGGCUCUUCACCUACUAGGCCCUUUAGUCAUCUGCUGAUGGAGCAACCACCCUCAGGAGAGAGAACUGUGGGGAUGACAGGACCUGCAGCCUAAAGGACGCCCUGCCAGCCCUCUGUUCUCAUUCCUUGGGCUUUAACAGGGCCAGGUGGGAAUUGGGGAUUAUGCCUGCGUGUGUGAGUGUGUGUGUGUGAGAGAGAGAGGAGACAGAACAGACCAUGCUAUCUCCCCACUCCUAAACCUGCCCUGUUCUGGAGUAGAGGGACAAGGAUCUCUCUUCCUUGAAAUUCUAAACAGCAGCUAGACUCUUUCAGCCCUGCAGUGACUGCAGAGUUCCGGGUUGGCUGAGGUUAUUCUCAAUGGGAUGAGAGACCUGGACAAAGCAGAGCAGUUACUGCUGGAAACAAAGAGCUCAAUCAGCAAAGUUAAAAGCAAAACGAAAACACUUCCAGGUUUGCGUCUGCAGUGUGAAGACCCCUGGACGAAGGGGCGAGGUCUGGGGCGUUGCCAGGUCCUCCUCCCACAGGCAUGGGAGGUGCUUGUACAUGAGGGGUAUGGGACUCCAUGACAUUUCCAGAUAGUUCUGGAAGACUCUGUGAGCUGUCUUCGUGCCCAGCGCUGCUGUGAAGGGAGCCCUUACAGAUGCCAACCCUGCUUCCUAGCUGUAAACCUAGACAAGUUUUUGAAAAAUAUCUGCUGGACAUAGAAAGUACCGGUCAUUCAUUUGUGCUCUUGCUGAUUUCUGUUUCCUCAAGAGGUUUCCCCCAAAUGUCAUUGACUUUCAGUGAAGGAAGAGCCCCUUGCCCUGCAACACACCGCCAGGCCCAGGGAGGUGGAGCCUGCUUCCUCCAACAGCACUGUCUGACAGCCCCUCCCUGGGCCCCAACAGCACUAGAAGCACAAGUCCAGGAUCCCUGCUGUGGAUUUUUUUUUAGUUUUUUUUUUUUGAGUCAAGGAGGCAAAAAAGUAACACACAAUGAAGACAAAAGGAAGAAAUGCCUGAAAAGGGACAUAGUGAUGCUUGGACAGUGCUCACCAGGGCCUGGCAUCAGAAGGGCCCGGCGGUUAUUACUGGCACAGAUGAGUUUCACUUCAGUUUCUUGGGGUGACAGGGAGAGAAGCCGCUAGAGGUACAUGAAUAGAGAAGGCGACAGCCCGGCUGCUUCCUUACCUCUGCAUUUCUUCAGGCUCUCUGUGAUGGCAUCAUGCCUUGAUUUCCUUUCCUUGAGUUUCUUCUCCAGAUCUGGAGGAAUCAACUCUGAGUCAAGGAAUUGAAACCCUUGACUCUUACAAAGACACAGCUGAGCUGGGGCUGAGGGGAAGGGAGGACAUGGAUGUGGACAGUGACAUGGAAAGGGGGGCGCGUGUGUGGGUGAACUGGGAAUGAGAGGCCAGAGCUAGGGAAAUGGGGCCAGGGAAGAGGAGACAUGGAAGUGAAAGUUAGAACAGCUGGAGAGAUGGAGGAAAGAGAGAGCAGGUGUCAGACCCCCCCCCCCAGGUGGAAGAGAAAACUUGCCAGACAAUGCAGUUACACAUCCUGCAAGAUGCAAAGGAUAACAGGAAGCUAAGUUGGGUUCGAGAAAAGCAGCUUGACCCAUGCAGCAACAUCUGCGGGCCUAGAUACCCCUGGAGACCACCAGACGCCCUCCACCCUAGAUCAAAAGACUUCCUCCACUCCAGGACAAAAAUUUCCACUCCUCCUGGCAGCACCCCUCCCCUACCCAAAGUCCCCUAUAAAGUUUCCCCUCACCCAAGCCCCCAGGGUCAAUGGCUUUGUCACCCUUGACUAGCCUGCACCCAAGCUGGAAAUAAAACCUAGCUUGUUGCUUCAUUUUUGCCUGCUCUGGUGGUCUCGGGCAUGCCUCAGUUUACCCUAACAGCAGGGGAGAAGGGAGAUGGAGUAGGGAACUUGGAACCACCCAGUGAAGCAAGGGGACACACAGGAGGCGCCAGGAAAUUGAAGACUGCUGAAGAACCAGGAAGCUAGAGAAACAGCUGUUUUCUUCACCAAGUGGCCCACAUGCUAAGGUUUUUGGCUCAGGCCUUCUGCACCCACAGCCUGGUUAGUGGAUUGCGGAGUCAGAAUGUGCAGAGCAUUUGGGGGAAUGCGAAGUGUGCUGCAGCCACAAACGAAUAGGUAGGCAUAGUGUGGGACAGCCUGUCAUAACUGCACAGUAUAACCUAAUGUCCUAGAAGAGAAAGAGAUGGCACAGCCUCAGGGCUUGGCUGCAUCACAGACCCCUGGCUGGGGGUCUCCACUUCCCCACCUCGCCUCCCACCCACCCUGGAGGGGAGCUCCAGAAGCGCCCGACACCAGGUGGACAGUGAAUGGAUUAGACCGGCAGAGAAUCCAAGCAAAGAGGAGGAGAGGAAAAUAAGAUUCGGAAGAUGACAUUCAUUUCACUGAACCUGGGGAGCCUUGCAAGCAGAAUGUAUGGAAGGCUGGAGAGGCUUUACAGGGUGUUUCUUAAAAGAAAGACUCUUGACCUGGUGGGGCUGGGAUGCGUGCAGGGGAGACCAGCUCAGCUUGCUUUGUGCACCACCACACCUGUACUGUCCAAUGUGGUGGCACCAAACAUGGUACCGACACCUCAAACAUGGCUGGAGCAACGAGGAACCACGUCUUAAAGGACUCUAACUCAGGACCUUGCGCUUGCCGGCCCGACGACGUAGUGCCGCUGAGCUACAUCCCUGGCCCUCACUUCCUAUUGCUGAGUUACACACGAGUGAGGCCGAUGUGUUUGUGCUGGACGGCGCUGGGCUGAGGGAGACGACUGAGACGGUCUUCCCACCAGGUUCUUGGGGCCCUAACCAGCGACGAUAGGAGGCUGCCAGCCGGCUGCAACUCCGCCGUCAAGGGGCCCUCGCCGGGCAGCCGUCUGGGCGGCGUCCGCUGCCGGGACCUGAGGGAGCCCCUGAGCGUCUUGAGAGAGUCCGGCUGCAGCUCAGCGCGCAGAUGCAGCGCGUCCCGCGCUGCACAUUCGCAUCCGGCCAGCGGAGCCGCAACAGCAGGACAUGCUCUCCUCCUCCAAACCUGCCACAGGGGAUCAAAUUCCACGGGGAUCCUGAGCCUCUCAACCGCCACUCAGGUCUAGGGACAAGGGAAAGGGACACAGGGAGGAGAGGGUGGCCCCCAACUCCUCCUAGCCCACUCUACUCAGUCUUUGAAAGUGUUAGGCUUAUACCAAAUGCCUUGCUGAGCAUCGCCCCGCGGCUGAUCUGCAGGGAGGGAGGGAAAGGGCAGGAGGGCCCCCCAGGUUUCUAACCAGGUGGGCAGCAGCUCCUCCCAGUCUCCCUGCCGAGACUGAGGGGCUGGGCAGCUUCGCGGCAGAGAGCCAGGGAGGCUGCGUGGACGCGAGCUCUGCCGGGCAGGAAGAGGAAACAGGAGCAGGGGGAAAAGAUUCUUCACGUUGGAGGAGCGGGAGGAGGGAAACAAGGAGGGAAAAGAAAGUAAGCAAACAACGGAAAAGAGUAAAGAUUCAAAUGCAGGGGCACUGUAGAGGGAAACGGGUGGGCAGUCCUGUCUACCCUGCCACCUUUGGAGGGCCAGUGUGUGCUUGAACGUGUGUGCUGCUUAUAAAACAGGGCAAGUGCUCCGGAGCUUUGGACUAAGUAAAGAAAUGUUCAUGAGGCAAUUGACAGACCCAAAGGACCAGGGCACCAAAGCCCACUUGAAGGUGACUUCCUGUCAGCUUCAGGUAAGGAAUGCAGAGGCUAAUGCUUCCCAGAAGGUCACAGCGGCUGUAACUCCUCGAAAACAAGACCUAACCAGAAAACAGGCCUUGGUGUGAUUUUCAGGAUGUUCAUCAUAGCAGCCCUACCCCCAAAAUAAGUCCCAGCUGAGAUCAGCAGCCAGAUGGGCACAUUAGUAAUUAAAUAUAAAUAAUACUUAAAAUACUUGAACCACCAGGUGUGGUGGCGCACACCUGUGAUCCUGGCACUGGAGAGGCUGACGCAGGAGGAUCACAGCGAGUUCGAGGCCAGGCAGGGCUACAUAGUGAGACUCUGUCUCAAAAAAACCCAAACAAACCAAAGCAAACACCUUGAUACUUAAAUGAUAAUCAUUAACACUUAAAUAAAUAAUAAUAAAACUAUAAUUAAGUAUUUGUAAAUAGCCAAGCAGGCACAAGAGGUAAACUCAAGAAUUAUUGCUGCAUGACCAGAGUACAGACACAACGUGUGAAUAACAUGCACACUUGAUAAAUAGAUGAGAUUGUUUGACAUGAAUCUUAAUAAUUCAAUACACUGUGUAUUAUAACAGACACACUUAAUGCACUUGUGUGAAAUAAACAUUUUCUGAAUUUUGGUGCCUGCAA